rnacentral:rRNA from 1 species
GCCGGCUAACUACGUGCCAGCAGCCGCGGUAAUACGUAGGGCGCAAGCGUUAUCCGGAAUUAUUGGGCGUAAAGAGCUCGUAGGCGGUUUGUCGCGUCUGCUGUGAAAUCCCGAGGCUCAACCUCGGGUCUGCAGUGGGUACGGGCAGACUAGAGUGCGGUAGGGGAGAUUGGAAUUCCUGGUGUAGCGGUGGAAUGCGCAGAUAUCAGGAGGAACACCGAUGGCGAAGGCAGAUCUCUGGGCCGUUACUGACGCUGAGGAGCGAAAGGGUGGGGAGCAAACAGGCUUAGAUACCCUGGUAGUCCACCCCGUAAACGUUGGGAACUAGUUGUGGGGUCCAUUCCACGGAUUCCGUGACGCAGCUAACGCAUUAAGUUCCCCGCCUGGGGAGUACGGCCGCAAGGCUAAAACUCAAAGGAAUUGACGGGGACCCGCACAAGCGGCGGAGCAUGCGGAUUAAUUCGAUGCAACGCGAAGAACCUUACCAAGGCUUGACAUAUACGAGAACGGGCUAGAAAUAGUCAACUCUUUGGACACUCGUAAACAGGUGGUGCAUGGUUGUCGUCAGCUCGUGUCGUGAGAUGUUGGGUUAAGUCCCGCAACGAGCGCAACCCUCGUUCUAUGUUGCCAGCACGUAAUGGUGGGAACUCAUGGAAUACUGCCGGGGUCAACUCGGAGGAAGGUGGGGAUGACGUCAAAUCAUCAUGCCCCUUAUGUCUUGGGCUUCACGCAUGCUACAAUGGCCGGUACAAAGGGCUGCAAUACCGCGAGGUGGAGCGAAUCCCAAAAAGCCGGUCCCAGUUCGGAUUGAGGUCUGCAACUCGACCUCAUGAAGUCGGAGUCGCUAGUAAUCGCAGAUCAGCAACGCUGCGGUGAAUACGUUCCCGGGUCUUGUACACACCGCCCGUCAAGUCAUGAAAGU